GACGAACGCUGGCGGCGUGCUUAACACAUGCAAGUCGAACGAUGAAGCGGUGCUUGCACCGUGGAUUAGUGGCGAACGGGUGAGUAAUACGUGAGUGACCUACCUUUGACUCUGGGAUAAGCCUGGGAAACUGGGUCUAAUACCGGAUACGACCAAUCUCUGCAUGGGGUGUUGGUGGAAAGCGUUAUGGAGUGGUUUUAGAUGUGCUCACGGCCUAUCAGCUUGUUGGUGAGGUAAUGGCUUACCAAGGCGACGACGGGUAGCCGGCCUGAGAGGGUGACCGGCCACACUGGGACUGAGACACGGCCCAGACUCCUACGGGAGGCAGCAGUGGGGAAUAUUGCACAAUGGGCGCAAGCCUGAUGCAGCGACGCCGCGUGAGGGAUGACGGCCUUCGGGUUGUAAACCUCUGUUAGCAUCGAAGAAGCGAAAGUGACGGUAGGUGCAGAGAAAGCGCCGGCUAACUACGUGCCAGCAGCCGCGGUAAUACGUAGGGCGCGAGCGUUGUCCGGAAUUAUUGGGCGUAAAGAGCUUGUAGGCGGUUGGUCGCGUCUGCUGUGAAAGGCCGGGGCUUAACUCCGGUUUUGCAGUGGGUACGGGCUAACUAGAGUGCAGUAGGGGAGACUGGAAUUCCUGGUGUAGCGGUGGAAUGCACAGAUAUCAGGAGGAACACCGAUGGCGAAGGCAGGUCUCUGGGCUGUAACCGACGCUGAGAAGCGAAAGCAUGGGGAGCGAACAGGAUUAGAUACCCUGGUAGUCCAUGCCGUAAACGUUGGGCACUAGGUGUGGGGGACAUUCCACGUUUUCCGCGCCGUAGCUAACGCAUUAAGUGCCCCGCCUGGGGAGUACGGCCGCAAGGCUAAAACUCAAAGGAAUUGACGGGGCCCGCACAAGCGGCGGAGCAUGCGGAUUAAUUCGAUGCAACGCGAAGAACCUUACCAAGGCUUGACAUGCAUUAGAUCGCGUCAGAGAUGGCGUUUCCCUUCGGGGCUGGUGUACAGGUGGUGCAUGGUUGUCGUCAGCUCGUGUCGUGAGAUGUUGGGUUAAGUCCCGCAACGAGCGCAACCCUCGUUCUAUGUUGCCAGCGGUUCGGCCGGGGACUCAUAGGAGACUGCCGGGGUUAACUCGGAGGAAGGUGGGGAUGACGUCAAAUCAUCAUGCCCCUUAUGUCUUGGGCUUCACGCAUGCUACAAUGGCCGGUACAGAGGGUUGCGAUACUGUGAGGUGGAGCUAAUCCCUUAAAGCCGGUCUCAGUUCGGAUUGGGGUCUGCAACUCGACCCCAUGAAGUCGGAGUCGCUAGUAAUCGCAGAUCAGCAACGCUGCGGUGAAUACGUUCCCGGGCCU
rnacentral:rRNA from 1 species